UGGCAUAGUCCUUUUCCACAUUGAUAGGGCUGAUUUUUGUAACCAGUAAGAUACUGUGGAAAUAGUAGUGUAUGACUCCCUAGGCUGCAUCACAAAAGACUUAAUUUUUGCCUUUUUCUCUCUUGGAAAGAAGACCCACCACGGGAAGCUUUGGGAAGAAGCCUGCUGCCAUGUUGUGAGAACACUCAAGCAGCUGUGUGGAGAGAUUCAUGUGGUGAGAAACUGAAGCCACCUACCAACCAUCAGCCACACCUGUGGAGCUGCAUGAGGACAUGCACCCAAGUAGCCUCAACCACAUCUGGACCUGAGACAGAUACAAUACCUCUGUCAUUUGACGCCAUCUCUUUGAACAUGGAUCCUCGGCUUCCGCCUGCACAACCGUGUGGCAUGUCACAUCUCCCACAGAAAUGGAGGAAGAGCCUUCUUGCCUGAAACAGCAGGUACUUUCGUGAAGUUCAUUGUGAUGGUGCUUUUUAUUUGGCUGUCUUGGCCUUUUACCUGUUUUCUGAUUCUUGAACUGGCAUUGCUCUCUUGUGCCUGUGCGUUUUCUGGUUUCUAAUUGCCAGCUUGGUUUUUAACCUACACACUUAAUCUGGACUCCUGAUAUGCAUGUGAUUUCUGACUGCUCAUUUGGCUCAGAGCCUUAUUGACUUUUCCUGUUCUCAGUCCCGCCUGUAAUUCCUAGACUUGUUGUAUUUUUCUACCUGGCUUCCCACCCUGGCUCUGGGACUCUGUCAACACCAGUCUUGAUCCAAUAGAGAGACUCGAUCUCACUGGGCAGCCAGGUAGACAAAAGGACUGGUGAAGGGGCUGACAAGCUCACAUCUUCAUCUGGCAUUUUGCACAAUUCUCAUGGCCUUUCUGAUCAUGGAGUUGACUUUAUGUAAUAAGAGUUCAAAGAAGGCUUGAACAGAAAAACAUUUUGUAAUCAAGAUGCAGUAAUUGUUAUUCUUUCCAGUUGUUGGGUUAGCUACACCUCUGUCAAUUGUAACACAGAGUUCCAAAUUUAUAUUGAAUUCCUGUGGUGUCCUGAAAUUGGGGUCAGACCCCUUUCCAAAGAAGACCAGACAUAUAUCUGUGACAUAGGACCUUUGGUAUAGAAUUCAUGGGUAAUAAUUUCUGCUGCUCCUCCCUUAUUCUAAAUGUGAACAAAAGUCAGUUUUUCACGCAGGUCGAGUUACCAAAGUUGCAGUAGGUAAAUUACUAAAAAGUAGUAACUUUACUUGUGCGAAAUCCUACCUUACCUCAAUAGGAUAUCGUUAGAGGAAGGAGAAUUUCCACAUUCAAGAUAACAGAUCCACAUCAAGAUCUUCAGUUAGGAAAACCAGACUCAGUAUCAGAUCCUGGCAUAGCUCUGCCACAUUGUCUUGCAGGCAUGUUGAGAAUAUACAACUAUGUGUAAUCUCUUGGGCAAAGGAGCUCAAGAUUAAUU
rnacentral:lncRNA from 13 species